UGAGAGUUUGAUCCUGGCUCAGGAUGAACGCUGGCGGCGUGGAUAAGGCAUGCAAGUCGAGUGGGUUUAGACCCACGGCAAACGGGUUAGUAACGCGUAGGAACGUACCCUCGAGUCGUGAACAACCCGGAGAAAUCCGGGAUAAUACACGAUGUGCUCUAUGGAGCAAAGAUUUAUCGCUUGAGGAGCGGCCUGCGUCCUAUCAGCUUGUUGGUGAGGUAAUGGCUCACCAAGGCUAUGACGGGUAGGGGGCGUGAGAGCGUGACCCCCAACAUUGGAACUGAGACACUGUCCAAACUCCUACGGGAGGCUGCAGUCGAGAAUAUUCCACAAUGGGCGAAAGCCUGAUGGAGCGACGCCGCGUGCAGGAUGAAGGCCUUCGGGUUGUAAACUGCUUUUAUAUGGGAAGAAUUUUUGACGGUACCAUAUGAAUAAGAGGUUACUAACUCUGUGCCAGCAGUAGCGGUAAUACAGAGACCUCAAGCGUUAUCCGGAUUUAUUGGGCGUAAAGAGCGAGCAGGCGGACAUAUUAGUCAGAUGUCAAAUCUCUGAGCUUAACUCGGAAACUGCAUUUGAAACGGUAUGUCUAGAGAAAGUGAGAGACCAAUGGAACUCAUGGUGUAGUAGUGAAAUGCGUUGAUAUCAUGAGGAACACCUAAGGCGAAGGCAUUUGGUUGGCACUUUUCUGACGCUGAGUCGCGAAAGCGUGGGUAGCGAAUGGGAUUAGAUACCCCAGUAGUCCACGCUGUAAACUUUGCAUACUAGAUGUGAGGAGUAUCGACCCUUCUCGUGUCGUAGCUAACGCGUUAAGUAUGCCGCCUGGGAAGUACGAGCGCAAGCUUAAAACUCAAAGGAAUAGACGGGGAUCCGCACAAGUGGUGGAGCAUGUGGUUUAAUUCGACGAUAAGCGAGGAACCUCACCAGGGCUUGAAACUAUACUGCAUUAUGUAGAAAUACAUAAGCCUUCGAGGGUGUAUAGCAGGCGCUGCAUGGUUGUCGUCAGCUCGUGCCGUAAGGUGUUCCGUUAAGUCGGGUAACGAGCGCAACCCCUGUCGUGUGUUAUAUAUGUCACGCGAGACUGCCCAGACUGAAACGCACUUCGUGCUUAAUUUUCAAUUAUCAAUUUUAAAUUUUCAUUCAAUUUUCAAUGAUUUAAUUUUCAAUUUAGAAAUUUAGAUAUUAGAAUAUUGUUUAGAAAUUAGAAAUUAGAAAUUAGAAAUUGAGUGCUUAGUAAAGCGCGUUGCAGUCUGGGAGGAAGGAGGGGAUGACGUCAAAUCAGCAUGGCCCUUUGACGCCCUGGGCGACACACGUGCUACAAUGGCCGGUACAAUGGGUUGCCAAACCGCGAGGUGGAGCUAAUCCCAAAAAGCCGGUCUCAGUUCGGAUUGGAGUCUGCAACUCGACUCCAUGAAGCUGGAAUCACUAGUAAUCGGGAAUCAGCCACGUCCCGGUGAAUACGUUCUCGGAUCUUGUACUCACCGCCCGUCACACCAAGAGAGUCGGUAACACCCGAAGACCCCGCAUCAAACCGGGGGCUACGGUGGGAUCGAUGAUAAGGGUGAAGUCGUAACAAGGCAUCGGUAGCGGAAGCUGUCGAUGGAUCACCUCCUU
rnacentral:rRNA from 4 species